rnacentral:rRNA from 1 species
GACGAACGCUGGCGGCGUGCUUAACACAUGCAAGUCGAACGAUGAAGCUGGAGCUUGCUCCAGUGGAUUAGUGGCGAACGGGUGAGUAACACGUGAGCAAUCUGCCCUUGACUCUGGGAUAACUGCGGGAAACUGUAGCUAAUACCGGAUACGACACCUUGGGGCAUCCCGGGGUGUGGAAAGAAUUUCGGUCAAGGAUGAGCUCGGGGCCUAUCAGCUUGUUGGUGAGGUAAAGGCUCACCAAGGCGACGACGGGUAGCCGGCCUGAGAGGGUGACCGGCCACACUGGAACUGAGACACGGUCCAGACUCCUACGGGAAGCAGCAGUGGGGAAUAUUGCACAAUGGGCGAAAGCCUGAUGCAGCAACGCCGCGUGAGGGAUGACGGCCUUCGGGUUGUAAACCUCUUUUAGCAGGGAAGAAGCGAAAGUGACGGUACCUGCAGAAAAAGCACCGGCUAACUACGUGCCAGCCGCCGCCGUAA